GGAGGCGUCGCCUAGUCCGGUCUAUGGCGCCGCACUGCUAAUGCGGUUUGGGUUUUAACGCCCAUCGGGAGUUCAAAUCUCCCCGCCUCCGCCA
rnacentral:tRNA from 1 species